rnacentral:rRNA from 1 species
UUUAUGGAGAGUUUGAUCCUGGCUCAGGACGAACGCUGGCGGCGUGCCUAAUACAUGCAAGUCGAGCGAGGCCUUCGGGCCUAGCGGCGGACGGGUGAGUAACACGUGGGUAACCUGCCUGUAAGACUGGGAUAACUUCGGGAAACCGAAGCUAAUACCGGAUAAUAUUUUUGGUUGCAUGACCGAAAAUUGAAAGGUGGCUUUUAGCUAUCACUUACAGAUGGACCCGCGGCGCAUUAGCUAGUUGGUGAGGUAACGGCUCACCAAGGCAACGAUGCGUAGCCGACCUGAGAGGGUGAUCGGCCACACUGGGACUGAGACACGGCCCAGACUCCUACGGGAGGCAGCAGUAGGGAAUCUUCCGCAAUGGACGAAAGUCUGACGGAGCAACGCCGCGUGAGUGAAGAAGGUUUCGGA